rnacentral:rRNA from 1 species
UACGUAGGGCGCAAGCGUUGUCCGGAAUUAUUGGGCGUAAAGAGCUCGUAGGCGGUUUGUCGCGUCUGUCGUGAAAGCUUGGGGCUUAACCCCAAGUCUGCGGUGGAUACGGGCAGACUAGAGGCAGGUAGGGGAGAGCGGAAUUCCCGGUGUAGCGGUGAAAUGCGCAGAUAUCGGGAGGAACACCGGUGGCGAAGGCGGGUCUCUGGGCCGAUACUGACGCUGAGGAGCGAAAGCGUGGGGAGCGAACAGG